rnacentral:tRNA from 1 species
GUUUAAGUGGCAGAGCCUGGCCACUGCAGUAGACCUAAGCUUUACGCACAGGGGUUCAACUCCCCUCUUAAACU